GUACUUGAAUGGAAUACCUGCGCAUUGACAUUCACAGAACAAACUGUUAAAAUGGAUCUAUUGGGUUACUAUAGGUACUAAAGAAGAUUGUAAUGGCACAGCAACAGGGACAAAGCUCUGGAACCGAUUCCCCAAAAAUCUGGAUCAUUGGCUCCAGUCUUGUGCGCCGUGCGGAACCAAGGGCCAUCGAGACCAUGGGGAGGAACCUGGGACUCGCAGGUGUCAGAUGUCGCAGAUGUCUUUUGGUUUGGCUCAGGUGGUCUGCGAUGGGAUGGCUUUCUCCCACUUUUCUCCUCUCAGCUGUCCACUCUGGCUGCCCCUGAUAUACUUGUCGUUCAUGCUGGUGGUAAUGACUUGAGGAAACUGAAAAGUAUUGAGCUUGUAAGAAGAAUGAAGAAGGACUUACUACAGCUGCACACAGACUUCCCACUAAUGAAUAUAGUGUACUCCAGCAUUGUCCAAAGGAUUGCCCAAAAAUAAACAAAGCACGAAUCUGGGUUAAUAGUAUAAUGACUUCCUAUGUUAGACUCCUUGGCGGUGCAAUCAUCAGACAUACGCAGAUCAAAUUCAAUAGGCCAUCCCAGUUUCUGAGAGAUGGAGUACAUUUAAGCCGGCAAGGAAAUGAUAUAUUUUUUAAUAAUAUUAGUCUUACACUCAGAAGCUUUUGUUGAUGUAUGUAGACUACAAAUACACACAUUAUUGUUUCUUUUUUGAAAUAAGCCUGACUGCUUUUGUGGGAGAAUGAAGGUCCAUUGUGAGUGACACUGUCAUCCCCACUUAUGUCUUACAUUUACAUUUAGUCAUUUAGUAGACGCUCUUAUCC